rnacentral:rRNA from 1 species
CUACGGGGCGCAGCAGUCGGGAAACUUCUACAAUGCACGCAAGUGUGAUAGAGCAAGCCAGAGUGCGAUUCUAUAAUUGAAUCGCUUUUGUGUGAUGUAAAUAGUCACACGAAUAAGGACUGGGUAAGACUGGUGCCAGCGCGCCGCGGUAAUACCAGCGGUCCAAGUGGCAGCCGCGUUUAUUGGGUCUAAAACAUCCGUAGCUUGCUCGGUAAGUCUCUUGUGAAAUCUGGCGUCUCAAGUGUCAGGCGUGCAAGAGAUACUGCCAAGCUAGAGACCGGGAGACGUGAAGAGUACGGUUAGGGUAGCGGUAAAAUGCGUUGAUCCUUACUGGACUAACGAUAGCGAAGGCACUUCACGAGAACGGAUCUGACAGUGAGGGAUGAAGGCUAGGGGCGCAAAACGGAUUAGAUACCCUAGUAGUC